rnacentral:rRNA from 1 species
UACGUAGGGUGCGAGCGUUACUCGGAAUUACUGGGCGUAAAGCGUGCGUAGGCGGUUCGUUAAGUUCGUUGUGAAAGCCCCGGGCUCAACCUGGGAAUGGCAAUGGAAACUGGCGGGCUGGAGUAUGGCAGAGGGGGGUGGAAUUCCGCGUGUAGCAGUGAAAUGCGUAGAGAUGCGGAGGAACACCGAUGGCGAAGGCAGCCCCCUGGGCCAAUACUGACGCCCAGGCACGAAAGCGUGGGGAGCAAACAGG